GAGCAUUUGAAAAGCUUAGAAAGACUAAUGAGUCUGGAAAUGAAACUGUGAUCCUUUGCCCCGAGGUCUCUUAGGCCACUUCCCACCCUUCAGUCUGGGCCCUAAGAGAAACAUCUUAGAAAGAAAACACGUACGUUCAAAGACCUGAAGGAGGAGAACAAGUGUGCUCAGGGGGCCAAGUGAACUACAGAUUAUCCCAAGCAGGACAAAGGAAAUGACUAAAUAACUCUACACAUACAGAAGGAACCAGCACCCGAGACACGAGUCAUUAAGAAAGCUAUUAAUACAAUAAAAUAUUGUCCUUAAUGACUACUCUACAAUAUUUUGUUUUUUGGAGUCUUGGAACAGCAGUUUCAAUCAUAUUGCAAAGAGGACCAUGAAGAUCUCUGUGUCCUAAAGUUUAGCAUUCCAUGAUCUUUGGAUCAUAUACAAAUGACUCUGUGAUUUUUGUGCUAUUAAUAUUAUGGAAAUUAGCUAAUAUAGAGAUUUUUAAUUUGCCAUAUCUAUUUUCUACAUUAAACGCUUAAGAUUACAUUUACUAUGAAAUU
rnacentral:lncRNA from 1 species